UUACGGGUUUUCUUUCGGAUCUUGACGAAAGAGGAGGAAAUCUCAACAACACGAGUCUUUCUUCUCUCUCCAACAAGAACUACAGAGGGUAGGGUCUUAGUAGGGAAUGAAUUUCGUCGGUGAUUCUCAGACGAAGACUCCGGCGUUUCACUUUUCUCUCUAAACUUUCUCUCAACCUUCUUUCUCACACUUCUCUCUUUUGCAGGUAUUCUGUGGAGAACCCUCAAGACCCGUAUAAUGUGCUGAGGGGUAAAAUGCCCAUUUUGCCCCUUGGACCUUGAUAGACUUUUUUUUUUCUUUUUUUUAUAGCAUUACAUGCACACUCUUGUCAUCAACCAUUCAUCCACAACUCAUUUGAAAAACAAAGAGUAGCAAAAGUGAGUAUAAAAAAUAUUCAAUAUGCAACCUACUUGUAGGCUCUCGUUGAAGCGUCUCGUAUUCCGUGUUUACUUAAGGCUAUGUGUUUAAUUAGAUUCCAAGAGUCAGCCAAUUCCAUGACAUUGUGUUCAAUAUAGCCCUAUGACUCUUAUAAUCAUCUACUCUACUUAUAUUUUAAGGAUGUAUGUCACUCAUCUUAGUUAAGUUGGAUUUUAGGGUGCAUUAGCUCGUUGUCUCUACUUUCCAAGGUCCAUCUAGUCAUCGUGUUUUCUGCGCAUAGUUCAAGGUGCUCUUACCUAUCUUGGGCUCUAGGAUGGAUCUAGCAUGUAUGGGGGGUCGUUGCUCUCUAUAAGUAACCUCUCAAGUCUCUUUGUAACUCCACAUGUGCCUACUAUUGAGCGCUAGUUGGAAGCUCCCAUAAUGUCACCCAACAAGCUUCCUAUUCCCACGUUCUUCCAAGCUGGAAUAACGCAAGACAUGCUCCCCACUUAGCACAACAAAACCUCCUCCGGCAGUGGGUGACAUGUAAUCUUAUAAUACCAAGUAGACUCUAAUCCAUCGAGGUAAGUUCAUUAGAGUUUACGCUCCAAUCGAACCUACAUGAUAUUAAUCGACCCAAAACAAUCAAUAUGGACUCUAAUCAUGGUUCAAGGUAAAAUAAUAACUAAGGCUCACAAACUCAUCAUACAGAUACUCUAGAACACACAACAUCUAUCCAAAGCAUUCAAGUGGGCACACAUGAAUUUUUCAACCCUCUUAUCAUGCUCCUACGGAUAACCAAGACAUAAACCAAUAUUAUCAUGCUCAUUCAUCAUAAAAAUAAGG